UGGUAGUCGCUUCCCACAUGUUAUUGGGGUUGUGGAUGGCACACAUGUUGCUAUUCAGCCACCAAGACAUAAUGAAGAAAUUUAUAGAAACAGGAAACGGUUUCAUUCUCUGAAUGUAAUGGUUGUUUGUGGGCCAUCCCUCCAGAUCCUUUCCCUGAACGCAAAGUUUACAGGAAGUUCCCAUGAUGCGUAUGUCAUUAGACAAUCAGGGAUAUGGCAGAGAUUAAGAUCAAGUCAACGACCAGACAUGUGGUUAUUGGGUGAGUUGUUGCUCAAAUAUUUUAGUUACAAACUUACAAAAAUAUAUGAAAAUUGUGAACUAAAAUUUUGCUUUUAUUCCAACAGGAGACCGUGGAUAUCCUUGCACCCCCUGGCUCAUGACUCCUUACCGUAAUCCCAGGCCAGGACCACAGAUGGCAUUUAACUCCGCGCUUACUGCCACUAGGCAGCUGGUGGAGCGCACAAUUGGUGUCCUGAAAGGGCGCUUUCGUGUGCUCCACCGCACGGGUGGCGACAUCAUGUAUUCGCCGGAGAUGGCAAGUAAAAUAGUGGUCCUGUGCGCAAUACUCCAUAAUAUCGCGGUAAGGAGUAGUGUCGAGCUUCCUCAGGCAGAGGAAUUGCCUGAUGAGGAGCCAGGGGUUGUGCCACGCUUCGGUGGGGGGAGUGUGACACGGAGGGGGAGCCAAGUGAGGGCAAGAAUUGUAGCAGAACAUUUCAGGUAUAGUGUUUUUAACAUUUAUAUUUGCACAAAUAAUACAACCCAGUAUGCUUAUGUAUUUUUAAACAUGAUUGCAUUUAGUAUGUUCUUGUAAAGUGAUUGGGUAAUGCUGUUGUUGUGUUUGAAUGGUUUUUUCUUUUUAAACACAAAAAACAAAAACACGUUAAGCUGACAAUGUUUAUGUAAUAAUUUAAAUACUGUAAUGAUAAUAAAUAGUGUCCUUAUUUAUUUUAUAUCCUCAAAUACUGAUUAUGUAAACAAACACACAAACAAAUGAUCCUCAAUGUUUGACACUUUGUGACUGUCCAGCUGAAUGAUCACACGACCUGUGGACAACAACAACGGCACAACUCCCCACCCCCUUCCCCUUCCCACUCCCCCUCCCCUUCUCACUCCCCCUCCCCUUCUCACUCCCCCUCCCCUUCUCACUCCCCCUCCCCUUCACACUCCCCCUCAGCUUUCCAGUCCCCCUCAUCUUCACAGUCCCCCUCAGCUUCCCAGUCCCCCUCAGCUUCCCUGGCCCACUCCACUUUCCAUUCCCCUUCUCACCACACCUCGCCAUCUCUUUCUGGGACCCCUUCUCCUCCUUCCCAUACCCCUUCUCCUUCCACUUCGACAUCCCCAUCUGAACCCCCCUCACCCUCUAUUGCUUUAAAUUUCUCUCCGCCCCCCUCGCCCUCUCAAUCAGACCCCCCCUCUGAAAUUGCGGCACUAAUCCAGCCUCCUUCCCCCAUCCAGCCUCCUGCCCCAAUCCCUCCUCCUUCCCCAAUCCCUCCUCCUUCCCCAAUCCCUCAUCCUUCCCCCAUCCAGCCGCCUUCCCCCAUCCAGGCAACAUCCCCACCAAGUGAAUGGGCAGAGGAAGCCCCUGCAGAACAUUCCGGGAGUCUGGAUGUUUCCGAGGAAAAUGUUGCAGUUGGAGAUCCCACAAGUUUUUCAGGGAUACUUUACACCAUGCGCCAACACCUGCAAGGAAUGAUGGAUUGUGUGGACCAUUUGCAAAAAUUUGCAUGACUUUUAUUCU